rnacentral:tRNA from 1 species
UCUAAUAUGGCAGAAUAGUGUACUGGAUUUAAGCUCCAACCAUAAAGCCAAGCUUUUUUUAGAA